CUCGUAGGCGGCCAACUAAGUCAUACGUGAAAUCCCUCGGCUUAACCGGGGAACUGCGUCUGAUACUGGAUGGCUUGAGUUCGGGGAGAGGGAUGCGGAAUUCCAGGUGUAGCGGUGAAAUGCGUAGAUAUCUGGAGGAACACCGGUGGCGAAGGCGGCAUCCUGGACCGAUACUGACGCUGAGGAGCGGAAAGCCGGGGGGGAAGCGAAACG
rnacentral:rRNA from 1 species